UUGGAGGGCAAGUCUGGUGCCAGCAGCCGCGGUAAUUCCAGCUCCAAUAGCGUAUAUUAAAGUUGUUGCAGUUAAAAAGCUCGUAGUUGAAUUUCGGGAUCAGACUGUCGGUCGUGCCUCGGUACGCACUGGCAUUAUUGGUUCCUACCUUCUGAAGAACCGCGAUGUCAUUAAUUUGGUGUCGUGGGGAAUCAGGACUGUUACUUUGAAAAAAUUAGAGUGUUUAAAGCAGGCGCACGCUUGAAUACAUUAGCAUGGAAUAAUGAAAUAGGACGUUUGAUUCUAUUUUGUUGGUUUCUAGGAUCGACGUAAUGAUUAAUAGGGAUAGUUGGGGGCAUUAGUAUUCAAUUGUCAGAGGUGAAAUUCUUGGAUUUAUUGAAGGCUAACUACUGCGAAAGCAUUUGCCAAGGAUGUUUUCAUUAAUCAAGAACGAAAGUUAGGGGAUCGAAGACGAUCAGAUACCGUCGUAGUCUUAACCAUAAACUAUGCCGACUAGGGAUCGGAUGAUGUUAAUUUUUUAAUGACUCAUUCGGCGCCUUACGGGAAAC
rnacentral:rRNA from 1 species